AGAGUUUGAUCAUGGCUCAGAUUGAACGCUGGCGGCAGGCCUAACACAUGCAAGUCGAGCGGAAGAAGGGGGCUUGCUCCCGGAUUCAGCGGCGGACGGGUGAGUAACGCGUAGGAAUCUACCUAAUAGUGGGGGAUAACGUUUCGAAAGGAACGCUAAUACCGCAUACGUUCUGAGGAAGAAAGCAGGGGAUCGCAAGACCUUGCGCUAUUAGAUGAGCCUGCGUCCGAUUAGCUAGUUGGUGGGGUAAAGGCCUACCAAGGCGACGAUCGGUAACUGGUCUGAGAGGAUGAUCAGUCACACUGGAACUGAGACACGGUCCAGACUCCUACGGGAGGCAGCAGUGGGGAAUAUUGGACAAUGGGGGCAACCCUGAUCCAGCCAUGCCGCGUGUGUGAAGAAGGCCUUCGGGUUGUAAAGCACUUUAAGCGGGGAGGAAGGCUCUAUGGCUAAUAUCCAUGGGGAUUGACGUUACCCGCAGAAUAAGCACCGGCAAACUUCGUGCCAGCAGCCGCGGUAAUACGAAGGGUGCGAGCGUUAAUCGGAAUUACUGGGCGUAAAGCGCGCGUAGGUGGUUUGGUAAGCGAUAUGUGAAAUCCCCGGGCUUAACCUGGGAACUGCAUGUCGAACUGCCAGGCUAGAGUAUGGUAGAGGGGUGUGGAAUUUCCUGUGUAGCGGUGAAAUGCGUAGAUAUAGGAAGGAACAUCAGUGGCGAAGGCGACACCCUGGACCGAUACUGACACUGAGGCGCGAAAGCGUGGGUAGCGAACAGGAUUAGAUACCCUGGUAGUCCACGCCGUAAACGAUGUCAACUAGCCGUUGGGGGGCUUGUCCCUUCAGUGGCGGAGCUAACGCGAUAAGUUGACCGCCUGGGGAGUACGGCCGCAAGGUUAAAACUCAAAUGAAUUGACGGGGGCCCGCACAAGCGGUGGAGUAUGUGGUUUAAUUCGACGCAACGCGAAAAACCUUACCCGGUCUUGACAUCCUGGGAACUCGCUAGAGAUAGCUUGGUGCCGCAAGGAGCCCAGAGACAGGUGCUGCAUGGCUGUCGUCAGCUCGUGUCGUGAGAUGUUGGGUUAAGUCCC
rnacentral:rRNA from 1 species